rnacentral:rRNA from 1 species
GACUCCUACGGGAGGCAGCAGUGGGGAAUAUUGCACAAUGGGGGAAACCCUGAUGCAGCCAUGCCGCGUGUGUGAAGAAGGCCUUCGGGUUGUAAAGCACUUUCAGUAGGGAGGAAGGUAGUGUAGUUAACACCUGCAUUAUUUGACGUUACCUACAGAAGAAGCACCGGCUAACUCCGUGCCAGCAGCCGCGGUAAUACGGAGGGUGCGAGCGUUAAUCGGAAUUACUGGGCGUAAAGCGCAUGCAGGCGGCCUGUUAAGUCAGAUGUGAAAGCCCGGGGCUUAACCUCGGAAUUGCAUUUGAAACUGGCAGGCUAGAGUCUUGUAGAGGGGGUAGAAUUUCAGGUGUAGCGGUGAAAUGCGUAGAGAUCUGAAGGAAUACCAGUGGCGAAGGCGGCCCCCUGGACAAAGACUGACGCUCAGAUGCGAAAGCGUGGGGAGCAAACAGGAUUAGAUACCCUGGUAG